rnacentral:rRNA from 1 species
GAUGAACGCUGGCGGCGUGCUUAACACAUGCAAGUCGAGCGAAGCAUUUGCAGUUGAUUUCUUCGGAAUGAUUCUGUUUAUGACUGAGCGGGCGACGGGUGAAGGUAACGCGUGGGAACCUGCCUCAUACAGGGGGAUAACAGUUAGAAAUGACUGCUAAUACCGCAUAAGCGCACAGUGCCGCAUGGCGCCGUGUGAAAAACUCCGGUGGUAUGAGAUGGACCCGCGUCUGAUUAGCUGGUUGGUGGGGUAACGGCCCACCAAGGCGACGAUCAGUAGCCGACCUGAGAGGGUGAUCGGCCACAUUGGGACUGAGACACGGCCCAA